UACACUCCUACGGGAGGCAGCAGUGGGGAAUUUUGGACAAUGGGCGAAAGCCUGAUCCAGCAAUGCCGCGUGAGUGAAGAAGGCCUUCGGGUUGUAAAGCUCUUUUGUCAGGGAAGAAACGGUGAAAGCUAAUAUCUUUUGCUAAUGACGGUACCUGAAGAAUAAGCACCGGCUAACUACGUGCCAGCAGCCGCGGUAAUACGUAGGGUGCAAGCGUUAAUCGGAAUUACUGGGCGUAAAGCGUGCGCAGGCGGUUUUGUAAGUCUGAUGUGAAAUCCCCGGGCUCAACCUGGGAAUUGCAUUGGAGACUGCAAGGCUAGAAUCUGGCAGAGGGGGGUAGAAUUCCACGUGUAGCAGUGAAAUGCGUAGAUAUGUGGAGGAACACCGAUGGCGAAGGCAGCCCCCUGGGUCAAGAUUGACGCUCAUGCACGAAAGCGUGGGGAGCAAACAGGAUUAGAAACCCGGGUAGUCCCAUGAU
rnacentral:rRNA from 1 species